CAGCUCCUGACAAGAGGGGACAGCCAGGGGGUGGGGCUCUGCUCCCAGGAACAGGGACAGGACAAGGAGAAAUGGUCUCAAGGGAAAGCAGAAUGUUUUUGCAUCUUCUCCUGGAAGAUUGAAAUUCCCAUCUCCCUGGCUUCUCUGUAGUUGUUGAGAUGGGAGGAUCUUUCCUUAAUGGAAAGCCAGUGACCCUGGAGAGGAUCAGUGAUACUCCCCUAACUCCACUGGCUACAUCUGGAUAAACCUGAGGAUUUCACUUGGCUUUUCCACUCCUACAGGAUAUUGGAGUGCUGCAGUCACCCUGGUCAAAGAACCAGUGGUUGUACUUCAACGGGGCUUGCAAGACUCCUUGGAUAAUCUUUCCUCCAAGAUAAUGGGAGAAGUUGUCUCUUUUAGAAGUUUUCAGAAAUUCCUGCCACUCUGCUCUUGUCUCUGUGCUAAUCACUUAGGGAAGGACAGAGAUAUUUUCCCCUGAACUUUCAAAUAUCCAGUGGGACUAGAAAGCUACAGCCUCUUGAAACCCCUGUGUCUGAAUCUCACAAAUAAUCAUAAAAGACUUUGCCUGUUGUCUUGGCCAUGGCAAACUUCUCUUCAGACAACCAGAAAAUACAUCUUUCCUGUUAAUCUUCCUGCCUUUGUUGCCAGAGUCAUGGGUUAUGGUCUGUUUGUCCUGAGAAAAUGUUAUCUGAGUCAAUAUUUAGACAGAAUAAGCCUUAAUCACAACAUAGUUUUAUGCUUCAUUAAAGAGGUUUUCCAUUUGCUCCGUUCAGAAAAUAAUGCAGAUGUAUCAGAAGCAAACAAACCGGGUGGAUUUCCUAUUCAUGCAACAACUUCCUUCUUGCACAGAAAUACAGGACUGAUUGCUUGUGCAGAAAACUUCCUUUUCUUCCUUCAGAGGAGGAAGAGAGACAAUUUUCCCCACCCUCAGCAGUGUGGAUCUCUUGUUGGGUGGUGCCCAAGCCCUCCCACUGCUGCUGCUCAGACCCAGAAUGACCUGGACUGUUGUCCUCUUAGAUGCCGCCCAAAAAUGAUGCCCAGCUCUGCAGACCAUUCUGAACAACCUGCUUUUAGGAGUGGUCCCAGCCUUGGUGGAUUCCCAGGAAUGCAGCUCUGGCUGCCAGUCCCAUCCCAGCUUCAGAGGGGAAACACCCAGAGAAGAGCCACAGAAUCAUUUAAGUUGGAAAAGACCUCCAAGACCAUCAAGUCCAGCCUUUGGCUUGCCAAAUAAACCAUGGCCCUGAGUGCCACGUCCUUGAACCCCUCCAGGGAUGGUGACUCCAGCCUGGGCUGCCCCUUCCAGUGCAGACCAGACCAACAGGAGAAAGUUGCAGGGGAACUGGUGGUAGAGGGAGGCCAAGAAGUCAAAGCCUGUCCCCUUCUCCAGGGCAUGGAAGAGCAGAUGAUUUUUCCUGCAGUGCUCUGGAAAAAAAAAAAAAAAAUCUUUCAUCUCUUUCCUGAGAAAAGGCCAAUGCUGAGCCUAGCAGAUUAUUCAAUAACAUCCCAUAAAAAUAUUAAACUUCUAUAUUGGAACCAAAUUAAAAUUGUAUUUCAUGAUGUGAACAAAGGUACCCAAGUCGAUUUCGUCUCUGUCUCCCUCCUUUUUCAAAUUUAAUAUCACACAGAAGAGAGAAAUGAAAUCUGUAUUUAAAUGGCUGUGGAACAUUGUGCAUUUAAAGUGCACAGCAAGUCACUCCCUGAAGCACUCCAUAUGAUAUGUAAAUCUUUUGAUCUUUCACAAAAUGCAUGAUUUCCAUAAAGAAUAAUGAGUGCUAGCUUGGGAAGUACAAUAUUGACUGUCACUGUACUGCACUUAGCCACAAUUAUUAUUUGCAUGGCUUUUGCAACAUAACUGGAGGGGAGAGUCCUGUGAAUAUUUUUAAUGCAUUCUAAUAGCUACUAAAAGAGAUUUUAUUUUAUAAUAGGUGCAUUCUUUCUUUUGGGUCUACAAGCUUUUUCUUUUUCAAUUUAUUCAUUACCUUUUUUUUGCUCUUUAUAAGGAAGCAUCUAUGGGGAAAAUCAGAGGAGCACACAAGUCCUGAGCAAAGAGGCAAUUGACAUCCUGCCCUGCCAUGAGCUGCAGGAAAGCAGAGGAACCAACAAUAACAUUUAUUUAUUCUUGAAGCCAAUGGGUGAAGCUUAACUUGAGAAAGGAUCUGAGGUGUGAUCUGUGUGAGAGAGCUUGAAGUGAUCAUCACCCUUUGAGGUGUUUUUGGCUGGAUCCUCUGCAGGGUCUCCCGGGAAAUGCAUGAGCCCAGAGCCCUUGGAGGUGGGGAGCUGGAUCCUGUCGAGCCGAAGAAGAGAAUUCUCCCAUUUUUCUCAGGGAUCCCAUCAUCCUGUUUGUUCACCCAGGAGAUGGGAAGACCACAAGCUCAUGGUGCAGGAAAGAGAAGUAGAAAUAAGGCCUAUCACAAGCAUCACAUUAAAUAAAGGAAAAUUUAAGAACUAA